GUACAAACAAGCACCUGUGCAGGCUGCCAUGCUCACCUGAGCCUCCCGCAGCUGAGGGGAUGCUGCCCUCACCCUCCCUGGUUUGUCCGGCAGGUUGAAUGCCACCUUCUCCAACACACGCUCUCGCUGCCUGACAGCAGAGGAUGGGCGCCCAAAGCGACUCGGUUUUUACCGGCAAGACUUGCAAGACACCUCGAGGACGCUGAGAAGGAGAUUAAUCUCCACCUGGCAAACUAAUGAUUGAGCACUGUCACUUGAUUACACGAAGGUAAGCAAAAGAGAUUUACAGCCCUAUGCUGGGAAAAACAAAUACACACACCCAUCUGUACAGUUAUAAUGCCUAUCUGUGAGAAUGUAAUGCAGUGUAUUUUUUGCUUUACAGCUUCAGACUCUUGACAUGGAGGAAAUCACGGUGGAAACCAUCCUGACUCCAUGGGAAAUACUGCUGGUCAUUUUUGCUGCGGUGCUGAUAAUGAGUUUUCUCAUGUUUCUGCCCCCCACUGCAGUGGUGAUCUGGAGAAUGAAGCGCGUGCCGCAGAUCUCACUGCGUGGCUCAGUGUGAGCCCGCCCUGGUACAAGCUGUAACAGCACCCAUCCCUUUGAGGGAUGGUUCACCAUGAUAACAUCUCUGAGAAUGGCUGUUACUGCCUCGGAUCCAUCCAAAAGCAAUGGUUUUCCCAGCCUAUGGCGGCUAAGUUCCUCCGGAAAGAUGAUGUGUGUAAUUUUGUCUUCAUCUACUACACUUCUCAGCACUUUGCCUUCCAUUUUUUGGCUACUUUGUAAUUACUGCUGUUGGCUUAGUUCCUAGACUGACGGCUUCUGUUGCAUUAUGAAGGACUGAAAACAAGACUGAUGGAGAAGCAAGCAUAAUACAGUAUUGUAUUCCCUUUCAUGUAAUAUCAUGAAAGCCUGCAUUUCUAUAAUUACACUGCAAAUAUAACCAAAGCCUUUAGCUGAGAUGACUGACAGUUAUGCAGGUGGACAUACCAAAAUGUGACAGUAUACUCUGGGGAGGUAGUGGUUUAGUCUGGUCGUACUGUGAAACCUAAAAAAACUCAACAGAGAAUGGUGCAUAAAUAAGCUUCUUUUGUCUCAUCUGAAAACUUACUUGCCUAAAAUGUCUUUUGUUUCUUUCCUUCUAUAUGAAUUUUCCUCUCUCUGCAAAUCCCCAGAGCCAGAACGCAAAGCCCUCCCCCUCCCAGGGUGAGAGCAGGAGCAUGAGGGACAGCCCGACACUCAGACAUGCCCAGCCAGACACCAAGCUGAAGUUAAUGCCAACAUACAGCAACCAUUCGCCUGAAUUACAUUAUGCAAACUUACUCUGGGAAAUUAAUGUGAUUAAGUUUCGUUUUUAACUGUGUCGUACAGCUUUAGUGGUUCAACUUCGCUUUCUCAUAUAUAAAUAAUACCUUGGAUGAUGGGAACAAAACCACUUCUCUGCAAGUUUAUGAAAAAAACAAACAAAAACCCAAACAGAAAAAGCUCAUGUCCAUCUUAACGUCAAAUUUAUGCAACAUCAAAUUAAAGCUUUUCAGCCUAAUUCUUCUGCAUUAUGGGACACUAAUUAGUAGGAUUUCUGAUGCACAGAUAUAAUAGUUUCUCUUGGUUUACAAGAGCAAUGGGUUUGAUUUCCUCUUAAAAUCCAGUAUUUGGUUUCUUUUCUUUUGUUGGUUGGUUUGGAAAGUCACUAGAACAGCUUACUAUAACUCAUAGAAUAUUGGUUUUUAGCACGAGUAGAAAAAUUAUAACAGAAAGUGCUCAGUGCUUCAGAUAUUUUAUUUGAGCAUCGGCUGGUAAUGAAUUGGCUGGAAAUGAAAGACUCAAAGACAUUAUAAUUUCAUUUGAUAGAGAUUAUUUGUUUGCCAUAAAUAAACAAACCCACCAGCGACUGAAAAAAACCACUGCUUUUCUUUAAGACUACAGCAUUUUUUCCUCAAAUACAGUGACUGAAGUUACUGUCUCAUAGUUUAUAAGCAGCCAAAGCAGCUAACUCAUCCCUUUGUUGAUGUAGUUGUCUGCUACACUUACAGUUAUACGACUGUCUGGUUCUGGGCUCAAAAGCAACCAAUGGGUUUUUUUUGUUUGUAAUGACUGGAUUCUGAGUCAGAAAGAUAGUGUGUAAUUUUAUAUAUCUGAUUCACUUAACUGAUUCAUGAGGUAAAGGUCAAUUAGACAUGUACCAAGUAACUAUGCUCUCUGUGUCUGAGAUUCACAGGAAUAGGGAAAAGGUAAAGAAGAUAAAGGAAAUACAAACACAUGAGCUGUCUGUCUUCGGAUCUACGGCAUCAGUGUUUGCUCAGCAGAAGAAAAUCAAAACAAAACCCCAAGCACGGAUUCCUCUGAAAACCAAGCAAGCAGUAAACUAACCUUUUUGUUUAGAUUUCAUAAUAAUUUACAUGCGUGUCUGUUCUGCAGCUACAACUCCACAAAUAAACUGGAUCUCCAGUGCUAUACUGUCUUUCAUCUUCACUUGCACCAAGUACUAGGUGGUCAACAGCCUGGGCUUUCUGCUCCUCACGCUUCUUACUCUGUGGCUUUGGUUUUCCAGAGUACAUCUGUGCACAGGGGUUGUGCAGGGGGCUUGUGAAACAGGGACAGCUCACAGGAGGGAGUUGGAGCAGGAACAAGUUUUUAUAUUUCACGAGAAGAAUCAAUGACAAAAAAAAAUCACUUGGAUAUUUGUUCAUGUUUAAAGCUGUUAUAAAUGCAGAUAAGCUAAUUUUUUUCUAAAUCCUGCAACAGCCACACCUGCUGCAGUUUAGUCCAGGUUUGGAAAUAGAAUGCAGAGGACAGCUAGCCAGAAGCUGAGGAAAACUUGGUUUAGGACCAGCAGCUGCCCUGGCACUGCUGUGCUGAGACCAGAGCAUCUCAGCCCAUCAGCACUGCGCUCAGCCCAUAAAGCUCUAGCCAAAUAUUGCUCUAUUACCAACCAGACCUCAUUUGCUUUUGUUCUUUCCCUCUGAAGCUAAGCCAUGGCUUGUGGUAAGCACAACCCCUGCCUAAGGGAGGCCCCACAGGCGUGUGUGCGCCGCGCAUGCCCGGGGAGCGCGAGGAAAUGUAAGCACAGAGGAGCACUUGUAGCCCUAGAUUGCACAGGGUGGGCACAGCUCUUGUUAGAGCAAACCGAGGGUCAGUAGGACUUCCUUUCCAGAACCACCACGGUUUUAGUGCGCAGGGACUGAACAGAGGAGACCGAAGCUGAUCCCUGGCACGCUAACCAGAGAGCGUCUCAUGCAGGGCCCUCAACACCUGCCGCCUCCACCUUUUUGGCAGAAAAGACACGAUGCAAGUAUCUGCUAGUUUAGGACAAUCCCAGUUCUCACAUUUUGUACUGGACAGAGACGUUACAUUUUUUCUGCCAUUUUGCUUGGUUACAGUGAGCACACAGGGCACUUUUUGACUCCUAGAAAUACAUUCAAGUAUACCUAAAGGCUAUGUCUUUCUGUGGGAUAUCCUCAAGAUAAGUACAAGAGAAACUUUUGAGUUGUCCCAUCAACAAACUGCAGUGCUUCAAGUUUCUAACUCAUGCAAAACACAGCAACUCGAACAGCUGUAUGUACAGCCUGAUUUAACCCCCAGUCAAGCAGGCACAUGAAUAAAGAAUUAUACCCUUACAGCCAGUAACCAUUGUGACUUGCAUUGCUUUAAUGGUCGUCAGAGCAACAAUCAUGAUUAAUUGGUAACUAUAAAAGCAACUGAAAGUAUGGCCCUUUCUCAGUAAAGAUCACACCUGACAGAAGAUGAUUUCUGAUAACAAUUAAUGUGUUUAACUAAUGACUGCAUCAAUUAAACAACUCUAAUUCUUAUUUAAUUCCAGCUAGAUGAAUUUAAGCCAUAAAAGUGAUCUUCUUUCUUUGAAACACCUCUGCCAUGAACUAUGUGAUUAGGUUUAGCCUAUAUAUCUGUACCCAAGAGAUGAGGUCAACUUAUGACUAUGAUCUCUAGCCCUUCAACUGAAUAAAAGCUGCAUGUUUA